AGACGGGGGGGGCGAGCGUUGUUCGGAAUUACUGGGCGUAAAGGGCGCGCAGGCGGCUUGGGAAGUCUUGGGUGAAAGCCCCCAGCUCAACUUGGGAAUGGCCUGAGAAACCACUAGGCUGGAGUGCUGGAGAGGGAAGCGGAAUUCCCGGUGGAGCGGUGAAAUGCGUAGAUAUCGGGAGGAACACCAGAGGCGAAGGCGGCUUCCUGGACAGACACUGACGCUGAGGCGCGAAAGCUAGGGGAGCAAACGGGAUUAGAAACCCCAGUAGUCC
rnacentral:rRNA from 1 species